GAAAUAUAACUAAGUCAAAAAAAGCUUCUAACUUUUUUUAUAGCAGUGAAAAUCUGUUAAUAUUUCU
rnacentral:tRNA from 1 species